rnacentral:rRNA from 1 species
UGGGGAAUUUUGCACAAUGGGGGAAACCCUGAUGCAGCGACGCCGCGUGAUUUAGAAGGCCUUCGGGUUGUAAAAAUCUUUUGUAUGGGAAGAAAAUGACAGUACCAUACGAAUAAGGACCGGCUAAUUACGUGCCAGCAGCCGCGGUAAUACGUAAGGUCCGAGCGUUGUCCGGAAUCAUUGGGCGUAAAGGGUACGUAGGCGGAUAAGCAAGUUAGAAGUGAAAUCCUAUAGCUCAACUAUAGUAAGCUUUUAAAACUGCUCAUCUUGAGGUAUGGAAGGGAAAGUGGAAUUCCUGGUGUAGCGGUGAAAUACGCAGAUAUUAGGAAGAAUACCGGUGGCGAAGGCGACUUUCUGGCCAUAUACUGACGCUGAGGUACGAAAGCGUGGGUAGCAAACAGG